UACGUAGGUGGCAAGCGUUAUCCGGAAUUAUUGGGCGUAAAGCGCGCGUAGGCGGUUUCUUAAGUCUGAUGUGAAAGCCCACGGCUCAACCGUGGAGGGUCAUUGGAAACUGGGAAACUUGAGUGCAGAAGAGGAAAGUGGAAUUCCAUGCGUAGCGGUGAAAUGCGCAGAGAUAUGGAGGAACACCAGUGGCGAAGGCGACUUUCUGGUCUGUAACUGACGCUGAUGUGCGAAAGCGUGGGGAUCAAACAGG
rnacentral:rRNA from 1 species